ACAAGCGGUGGAGCAUGUGGUUAAUUCGAUGAUACGCGAGGAACUUACCUGGGCUCAAAUGUAUGUUGACGUAUUCUGAAAGGGAUACUUCUUCGGACAAUAUACAAGGUGCUGCAUGGUUGUCGUCAGCUCGUGCCGUGAGGUGUCGGGUUAAGUCCCAUAACGAGCGCAACCCCUAUCAUUAGUUGCCAUCAGGUCAAGCUGGGGACUCUAAUGAAACUGCCUACGCAAGUAGUGAGGAAGGUGGGGAUGACGUCAAAUCAGCACGGCCCUUACGUCCAGGGCUACACACGUGCUACAAUGGCCGGUACAAAGGGCAGCUACCUGGUGACAGGAUGCUAAUCUCAAAAGCCGGUCUCAGUUCGGAUCGGAGUCUGCAACCCGACUCCGUGAAGUUGGAUUCGCUAGUAAUCGCGCAUCAGCCAUGGCGCGGUGAAUACGUUCCCGGGCCUU
rnacentral:rRNA from 1 species